CCAGGAUUGAUGAAAGUCUACUAAAUAAUAAAAAUGAUAAUAAUAAUAUUGAUUUUUACUUUAGCUUGAAAUUUUACGAUUUUCAGUACAAAGCUCUAUAUAUACUUUUGCGACGAAAUUAUGGUGCCCUGCUACCUUGCUUUUCUCUAUUUUUGUCUCGCUUAUUAGCGUUGAUGAAGUUUAUAUUUAGUUAUACAACUUGCCAUGAAGAUAAGGAAGUUUCUUUCGAACCAAUUUUUCCUCUCAAAAAUACCGAAAACUUGGCUCGUUUACUUAGAGAAAUAUCAUACUAUAAAGUUGCCCUUCGGAAAUACGCUUAUUUUAUAGUUUAUGGGUAUAUUGAGCUUUCAAAAUCGUCAACGAUGCUUCCAUCUCACAAAUCUUCUCUUUUGCAAGGGGUUUAUUCACUAUUUAACAUGUUUUCGAGUCACGAGCUGGAUUCAUUGCAUAUCCAUCUGGACGCCGCUGGCCAGUUAAUUCUGAAGAAAUUACACGAGGAAUACUUGAACCAGCAUAAAUACACCGGAAAAUAUUAAUAAUACUAAAUAAAAUAUUAGAUUGUUUA